CGCGGGGUGGAGCAGUCCGGUAGCUCGGCGGGCUCAUAACCCGUAGGUCGUUGGUUCAAAUCCAGCCCCCGCUACCA
rnacentral:tRNA from 1 species